rnacentral:rRNA from 1 species
UACGGAGGGUGCAAGCAUUGAUCGGAAUUACUGGGCGUAAAGGGCGCGUAGGCGGCUGUUCAAGUCAGAUGUGAAAUUCCGGGGCUCAACCCCGGAGCUGCAUUUGAAACUAGAUAGCUAGAGUAUAGUUAGGGUAAACGGAAUUCCACGUGUAGCGGUGAAAUGCGUAGAUAUGUGGAAGAACACCGGUGGUGAAGACGGUUUACUGGGCUAUAACUGACGCUGAGGCGCGAAAGCAUGGGGAGCAAACAGG